rnacentral:rRNA from 1 species
AGAGUUUGAUCCUGGCUCAGAUUGAACGCUGGCGGCAGGCCUAACACAUGCAAGUCGAGCGGUAACAUUUCUAGCUUGCUAGAAGAUGACGAGCGGCGGACGGGUGAGUAAUGCUUGGGAACAUGCCUUUAGGUGGGGGACAACCAUUGGAAACGAUGGCUAAUACCGCAUAAUGUCUACGGACCAAAGGGGGCUUCGGCUCUCGCCUUUAGAUUGGCCCAAGUGGGAUUAGCUAGUUGGUGAGGUAAUGGCUCACCAAGGCGACGAUCCCUAGCUGGUUUGAGAGGAUGAUCAGCCACACUGGAACUGAGACACGCUCCAGACUCCUACGGGAGGCAGCAGUGGGGAAUAUUGCACAAUGGGCGCAAGCCUGAUGCAGCCAUGCCGCGUGUGUGAAGAAGGCCUUCGGGUUGUAAAGCACUUUCAGUUGUGAGGAAAGGUUAGUAGUUAAUACCUGCUAGCUGUGACGUUAGCAACAGAAGAAGCACCGGCUAACUCCGUGCCAGCAGCCGCGGUAAUACGGAGGGUGCGAGCGUUAAUCGGAAUUACUGGGCGUAAAGCGUACGCAGGCGGUUUGUUAAGCGAGAUGUGAAAGCCCCGGGCUCAACCUGGGAACUGCAUUUCGAACUGGCAAACUAGAGUGUGAUAGAGGGUGGUAGAAUUUC